rnacentral:rRNA from 1 species
UACAGAGGCCUCAAGCGUUGUUCGGAUUCAUUGGGCGUAAAGGGUGCGCAGGCGGUCGGGUAAGUCGGGUGUGAAAUCCUGGGGCUCAACCUCAGAACUGCAUUCGAUACUACCGUGCUUGAGGACUGGAGAGGAGACUGGAAUUUACGGUGUAGCGGUGAAAUGCGUAGAUAUCGUAAGGAAGACCAGUGGCGAAGGCGGGUGUCUGGACAGCUCCUGACGCUGAGGCACGAAGGCCAGGGGAGCAAACGGG